UGGGGAAUAUUGCACAAUGGGGGAAACCCUGAUGCAGCGACGCCGCGUGAACGAAGAAGGUAUUCGUAUCGUAAAGUUCUGUCCUAUGGGAAGAUAAUGACAGUACCAUAGAAGAAAGCUCCGGCUAAAUACGUGCCAGCAGCCGCGGUAAUACGUAUGGAGCGAGCGGUGUCCGGAAUUAUUGGGCGUAAAGGGUACGCAGGCGGUUUAAUAAGUCGAAUGUUAAAGAUCGGGGCUCAACCCCGAAAAGCAUUGGAAACUGAUAAACUCGAGUAGUGGAGAGGAAAGUGGAAUUUCUAGUGUAGUGGUGAAAUACGUAGAUAUUAGGAGGAAUACCAGUAGCGAAGGCGACUUUCUGGACACAAACUGACGCUGAGGUACGAAAGCGUGGGGAGCAAACAGG
rnacentral:rRNA from 1 species